CCUACGGGAGGCAGCAGUAGGGAAUUUUCCACAAUGGACGAAAGUCUGAUGGAGCAACGCCGCGCGAGUGAAGAAGGGUUUCGGCUCGUAAAGCUCUGUUGGUAGGGAAGAAAGAUAGGGAUAGGAACUGGCCUUUGUUUGCCGGUAAUUACUUAGAAAGUCACGGCUAACUACGUGCCAGCAGCCGCGGUAAUACGUAGGUGGCAAGCGUUGUCCGGAUUUAUUGGGCGUAAAGCGAGUGAAGGCGGGUCAAUAAGUCUGAUGUGAAAGCCUUCGGCUCAACCGGAGAAUUGCAUCAGAAACUGUUGAACUUGAGUGCAGAAGAGGAGAGUGGAACUCGAGGUGUAGCGGUGGAAUGCGUAGAUAUAUGGAAGAACACCAGUGGCGAAGGCAGCUCUCUGGUCUGCAACUGACGCUGAGGCUCGAAAGCAUGGGUAGCGAACAGGAUUAGAUACCCGAGUAGUC
rnacentral:rRNA from 1 species